GCAAACGUGGCAGAUAUAAAUAAGGUGAUGUUUACCAGUUGCUGUGAAGAUGAAAAUGUGGUGUAAUCUCCACGGUACUUUAAGUGAAUCGACCCUAUCCUACUGGGGCCCACACUUUAUUAGAUGGCCUCUGCUUACCUGUUUGUAAGUGACACGUUGUACAAUCGGAAAUCUUGCAUUCUUCCAACAAACAGCUCUGAACCUGAAAAAUAUGUCCAGAUGAAGCCCCAGGAUCCAAGCAGGCAUACAGGUUAUUCACCCGAUUCUCUUCUCAGACUACAGAGCUUUAAACUAUGUCCCUGCUGGCACCCCUGGAAUUCUCAAAGACUUGAGUCUGUUUUCUAAGUCGUCACUGUUAGCAGUGAUCCUAUUCAUCUCUGUAGCGACUGCAAGGCUGUGAAGCCAACAAAAAUCCUUUAGCAGAUGAUUUCCAGGCUCGACAUGUAGCUACACUUCCCUGAGAUCCUCUUUAAUUUACAAACUUAUAAAUCUAUGGUUUCCCGAGCCUUAAGCUUGGUUGUCAACUGCUUUCAACAGCAAUUUUCAGAAUAUUUGUUCUGCCAGUGGAAAAGCGUCUGUUCACACAUCCCACUCGUUUUGGUUCAAACUGCAGAAUGUGGAUUCUAACUAAAACAAAUGCUGUCCAGAAAAAUCUCAAAACCCCAUCACAGAUGGAUGAAAGGUGUUCUCUGCCCGUGGAUAGUGUGUCACCUAUAUAUGACAUCAGAGUGCAAACUCAGUCUAAAUAUCAUCAGCCCUGCUAAGGAUUCUUCUAAGGUCAUCAGGUUCAAAGACCAUAGCGCCACCAGUGGUCCCUUCAACCGUAGUUAGCUCUGCCUGGGACUGUGCUCAGGACAACACAAAGAUGAAAUCGGGAAAAGCAAUCAGUAAAGAAGGCCCAUCUUGAAGGAGAAGCCAUUUAUAAGGUGAAGAAACAAUCCAGACACACGGGACAGAAAAAAAAAAUCAUGUGAGGAGAACAUGAUAAGGCAGUGCUGAAACCAUGAAUGAGUGCAAGAAAGGCUCAAGGAAGUCGUCCCUGGUUCUGGAAUUAAACAAAGUCCUGUGCAAA